rnacentral:rRNA from 1 species
GAUGAACGCUGGCGGCGUGCCUAAUACAUGCAAGUCGAGCGAACAGACGAGGAGCUUGCUCCUCUGACGUUAGCGGCGGACGGGUGAGUCACACGUGGAUAACCUCCCUAUAAGACUGGGAUAACUUCGGGAAACCGGAGCUAAUACCGGAUAAUAUAUUGAACCGCAUGGUUCAAUAGUGAAAUACGGUUUUGCUGUCACUUAUAGAUGGUUCCGCGCCGCAUGAGAUAGUUGGUAAGGUAACGGCUUACCAAGGCAACGAUGCGUAGCCGACCUGAGAGGGUGAUCGGCCGCACUGGAGCUGAGACACGGUCAAGACGACUACGAGAGGGAGCAGUAGGGAAUCUGACGCAAUGGGCGAAAGCCUGACGGAGCAACGCCGCGUGAGAGAUGAAGGUCUUGGGUUCGUAAAGCUCUGUUAUGAGGGAAGAACAAAUGUGUAAGUAACUAUGCACGGCUUGACGGUACCUAAUCAGAAAGCCACGGCUAACUACGUG